rnacentral:tRNA from 672 species
CGCGGGGUGGAGCAGCUCGGUAGCUCGCUGGGCUCAUAACCCAGAGGUCGCAGGUUCAAAUCCUGUCCCCGCUACCA